AAGUCGUAACAAGGUUUCCGUAGGUGAACCUGCGGAAGGAUCAUUAACACGUAUCCAACGUUAAACCCCCCCGUGAACCUUUAUUGUGGCACGCCUAUCCGUUAGAAAGUGGCAAUCCCUGGUAAAUCAUCGCCGAACAGUUUUGAUUCAGGGACUUCUGCGUGGGUAGGACAACUGCGCGAGCAAGUGACCUGGCAUCCCUCUGCUUGUUAGUGUCUGAAAGUGUCACUAGCUCUGUACAAUGGGCCCUCGGCCCCCUAGAUCACCCCUUUGCAUGAAAACGGGCCUGCGCUUAAUUGUGCGGCCACCAAACUCGAACAACUGUUAACAAUGGAUAUCUUGGUUCUC
rnacentral:misc_RNA from 1 species